ACAAGACUGUCCUGCAGAGGGCCAAAGCUGAUAGACUUACAUGGAGCACACUGGAGUCUUUUUGUUCCCGUCCUCCCUAUAUUUUGGAAGCUCCAGCGUGAAUGUGGCCUGAAUUUAAACACUCAGAGCCACGGCCAUUAACAUGACCAACAAUAUCCAGAAGAUGGAGUUUCUACCAGCCUGAGUCCCAGAGUGAGAAUAAGGUACUGGACAUAAGAGAUAAAGUCCAGGGACCCCAGGGAUUGGGGGACAUCUAUGACGAGACCUAAUGAAACUGUGACAUUAAAAGCCUCACCAUUACUAGAGAACUUGAGAAGAAAAGUUCAGUCUCUGGAGGAAGCGAGGGCUGAGUCUGUCUGCUGGUGAAGGGCACCAUGGAAGCCUGAGGCGUCUUAGCCGUGGGCUCGACUCCAAAUGACUUCUAUAUGUAAUUGUAACAGCAGUGUUCAAUAAGAAAAGCAGAAGCACUGAGUGAUAUACAAUGAGGGAUUUAUUUUACGGAUUAGACUUCACACAGUUGUGGGAGCUGGUGAAAAUGCCUGUUGCCUCUGCAUCUGGUAUGCGUCAGAGAUCCCUUAGACCCGCAGGGUCAGCAGUCAGGAAGAAAAUCUGACAUGAAGGCAAAC